rnacentral:tRNA from 1 species
ACCUGGGUGGCUCAGUCGGUUGAGCAUCUGACUUCGGCUCAGGUCAUGAUCUCAUGGCUUGUGGGUUCGAGCCCCGCGUCAGGCU